AUUGAACGCUGGCGGCAGGCCUAACACAUGCAAGUCGAGCGGAUGAAGGGAGCUUGCUCCUGGAUUCAGCGGCGGACGGGUGAGUAAUGCCUAGGAAUCUGCCUGGUAGUGGGGGAUAACGUCCGGAAACGGGCGCUAAUACCGCAUACGUCCUGAGGGAGAAAGUGGGGGAUCUUCGGACCUCACGCUAUCAGAUGAGCCUAGGUCGGAUUAGCUAGUUGGUGGGGUAAAGGCCUACCAAGGCGACGAUCCGUAACUGGUCUGAGAGGAUGAUCAGUCACACUGGAACUGAGACACGGUCCAGACUCCUACGGGAGGCAGCAGUGGGGAAUAUUGGACAAUGGGCGAAAGCCUGAUCCAGCCAUGCCACGUGUGUGAAGAAGGUCUUCGGAUUGUAGAGCACUUUAAGUUGGGAGGAAGGGCAGUAAGUUAAUACCUUGCUGUUUUGACGUUACCAACAGAAUAAGCACCGGCUAACUUCGUG
rnacentral:rRNA from 1 species